GAGCUGGCGGCAGGCUUACACGAUGCCAGUCGAUUGCGUUCCUUCGGGGGAGAGUGGCACGACGGGUGAGUAAGCACAGUGGGAACGUAGCCCUGUCAGUUCGGAAUAACCACUGGUGAAACUAGUGGCUAAGUACCGGAUACUGGGCGAGAGGCGAAAGGUUUACUUGCUGGAAGGAGUCGGGCCCGCGUCCGAUUAUGCUAGUUGGUGUUUGGUAACGGCUCACCAAGGCGACGAUCGGUAGCUGGUCUGAGAGGAUGGCCAGCCACAUUGGGACUGAGACACGGCCCAAACUCCUACGGGAGGCAGCAGUGGGGAAUAUUUGGACAAUGGGCCGCAAGCCUGAUCCAGCCAUGCCGCGUGAGUGAUGACGGCCUUAGGGUUGUAAAGCUCUUUUACCUGGGAAGAUAAUGACGGUACCAGGAGAAUAAGCCCCGGCUAACUUCGUGCCAGCAAGCCGCGGUAAUACGAAGGGGGCUAGCGUUGUUCGGAUUUACUGGGCGUAAAAGGGCAGCGUAGGCGGACUGAUAAGUCAGGGGUGAAAUCCCAAGGUCAACCUUGGAACUGCCUUUGAUACUGUUUAGGUCUUGAGUUCGAGAGGAGGUAAGUGGAACUUGCGAGGUGUAGGAGG
rnacentral:rRNA from 1 species